CCUGCGGAAGGAUCAUUAUUGAAAACAAGGGUGUCCAAUUUAACUUGGAACCCAAACUUCUCAAUUCUAACUUUGUGCAUCUGUAUUAAUGGCGAGCAACUUCGGUUGUGAGCCUUCACUUACAAAACACUAGUCUAUGAAUGUAAAAUUUUUAUAACAAAUAAAAACUUUCAACAACGGAUCUCUUGGCUCUCGCAUCGAUGAAGAACGCAGCGAAAUGCGAUACGUAAUGUGAAUUGCAGAAUUCAGUGAAUCAUCGAAUCUUUGAACGCAUCUUGCGCUCUCUGGUAUUCCGGAGAGCAUGUCUGUUUGAGUGUCAUGAAUUCUUCAACCCAAUCUUUUCUUGUAAUCGAUUGGUGUUUGGAUUCUGAGCGUUGCUGGCUUUAUUGCUCAGCUCGUUCGUAAUACAUUAGCAUCCCUAAUACAAGUUUGGAUUGACUUGGCGUAAUAGACUAUUCGCUAAGGAUUCGGUGGAAACAUCGAGCCAACUUCAUUAAGGAAGCUCCUAAUUUAAAAGUCUACCUUUUGAUUAGAUCUCAAAUCAGGCAGGAUUACCCGCUGAACUUAAGCAUAUCAAUAAG
rnacentral:rRNA from 1 species